rnacentral:lncRNA from 1 species
GGAGGGAGAGCCUAAUGAUCCUUCUGCAGGUGGGAGCCCGCAGGAUUUGGAGACUGAGGACCUAAGGGGUGGAGGGUUGGGGCGCUGGACUCCCUGCCUUCUCUGGCCCGGGGAAAGGUGGUGCGAGGUGGGGGGGCUCGAAAAUGCUCUGGGCUCCGGCUCCGCAGUGAGGGGAGGGGGGGGCGGCGCAAAGAGAGGAGCGCUCUGCGGCCACGUGACACUCUCUUUCCCCCUCCCCCCCUCCUCCCCUCUCUCCCCCCUUCAACUGCAGCGGCGGCGGCGGCAGUGACAGCGGCGGGAGCAGCAGCGGGAGUGGAGCUGCGUCCGACUGGGGCUGCUGAGGCCAGCACCAGAGCCGAGUGGAGCCGAGCGGAGGGAGCCCCGCGUGCCCUCCCCCAGGCCCUGUGGGUUGGACAAAUCCUUUGUGCGCAACCGGAACCCUUGGAGGAAUGAUGGGCAGAGCCAGCCCUUCCCUCAUGCGUUAGACUUGCCUCGAGUGGACUCUGCUCCUCCCCACACAGCUUCCCUCUAUCCCAAGGUAAAGUGGCCUCUCCUCCCUGCCUCCAGGAAACCCAGUGAGGGCCAUGUAGUGGGGAGAGGGAGGGACGAAACGAGGGAGCAAUCAUGGGAUGCGCUGGGCCUGGUUCCUCACAGCUCCAGGGGCCGGGCUUGGGGAUGAGGGGAUCUGGGUUUGAAUCCUGACUCUGACAUUUGGUCAUGCUGGGCAAGUGACUUCUCCUCCCUGAAGGCCAAUUUUCUUAUCUGUAAAGUGAUGGAAUUGGGCCAAGUGAUCUCCAAAGGGCCUGCUAGCUCUAGAUCUCUGAGCCUCCGUUUCCUUAGCCUUAAAAUGGGGAUGAUAAUAUUUGUACUGCCUACCUCCACAGGGUGUUAGGAGGAAAGUGGUUUUUAAAAACCCUUAAGUGCUAUGGAAGAGGGAGCAGCAGCAUCCAUUGCCACCAGUCCCCUGAUCUCUGUCAGAGAGGGAGUACAGUGGAGAGAGCGCUGGGCCUGGAGUCAGGAGGAGCUGCGAUCAAUUCCAGCCUCACAUGCUUCCUAGCUAUAUUACAUUGGACAAGUGAUUUAAUUUCUCUUUGCCUCCAUUUCCUCAACUGUAAAAUGCAGUUCAUAAUAACACCCACUUCUCAAGGUUAUGACAAUUAAAUGCAGUAAUAUUUGUAAAAAAUGCUUAGCACAAAACUUUUUUCCCUUUCUUAUUUUUGUCCAAGUUUCCUUCCACAAAAGGAUUAAUAUGGAAAAAUAUUUUAUAUGAUUGCAC